GUUUCCUGCGGCAGCUACACAUGCAAGUCGAGCGGCAGCACGGGGAGCUUGCUCCCUGGUGGCGAGCGGCGGACGGGUGAGUAAUGCAUAGGAAUCUGCCCGGUAGUGGGGGAUAACGUGGGGAAACCCACGCUAAUACCGCAUACGUCCUACGGGAGAAAGCGGAGGAUCUUCGGACUUCGCGCUAUCGGAUGAGCCUAUGUCGGAUUAGCUAGUUGGUAAGGUAAUGGCUUACCAAGGCGACGAUCCGUAGCUGGUCUGAGAGGAUGAUCAGCCACACUGGGACUGAGACACGGCCCAGACUCCUACGGGAGGCAGCAGUGGGGAAUAUUGGACAAUGGGCGAAAGCCUGAUCCAGCCAUGCCGCGUGUGUGAAGAAGGCUUUCGGGUUGUAAAGCACUUUCAGCGAGGAAGAAGGCCUCUGGGUUAAUACCCCAGAGGAAGGACAUCACUCGCAGAAGAAGCACCGGCUAACUCCGUGCCAGCAGCCGCGGUAAUACGGAGGGUGCGAGCGUUAAUCGGAAUUACUGGGCGUAAAGCGCGCGUAGGUGGCUUGGCACGCCGGUUGUGAAAGCCCCGGGCUCAACCUGGGAACGGCAUCCGGAACGGCCAGGCUAGAGUGCAGGAGAGGAAGGUAGAAUUCCCGGUGUAGCGGUGAAAUGCGUAGAGAUCGGGAGGAAUACCAGUGGCGAAGGCGGCCUUCUGGCCUGACACUGACACUGAGGUGCGAAAGCGUGGGUAGCAAACAGGAUUAGAUCCCGG
rnacentral:rRNA from 1 species